AAGCUUCUCACCCUGGCCAGAGAUGGCACACUCCUGGCUACAUACACAGACCCAGCACUACAUGGCCCAUAUGGUCUACAUGUGACCCCUGCAGGCCAGGUGCUGCUGGUCUGUGGAGGCUGGUCCAACACUGUACUACAGGUGGGCUGGGAGGGAGAGAGUAAGCUGGCUACGCUGGCUACUAAGAGGCAUGGAGUGUGGCAGCCAUGGUCAGUCUGCUACAGCAGCACUACAUCAUCCAUCAUUGUGGGACUGUGGGAGGACAACAUCCUGGUGAUCAGAGUGGAAUAGUGUGUACAUUGGCUGCUGAGUCGGGACAAGGAUGCUGAGGAUGUGGGGGACAAGCAUGACGCAGAAGGAGAGCACCAGCAUUGAUAUCGAGUUGGCCAAGCAACAGCACCAGUCCGGCCUGCAGGAGCCCCAAUACAGAACGAUUCUUUCCCUCCCCUGAUCCCUAGCUCCUCCCACUGGACCUCCGGCCUCAAGGUGUCAGCAUUGUUACACAAGUCUACUCUGCAAUAAAUCCUCAGCACGUCAAGUUUUCAUGCGCUGUUAUGAACAACCGAAAUGUCUGUGACAAGAUUUCCCCAAGCAAGCCCGAGUAGUUUUGUUUAGCUCUAGUGCCCGAGUGGGAUGAGUGUUACAGAAGCGAGACGUUAUAGCAGUACUUAUGGUAACGCUAACAGUUAACGCAAACAGUUAGUUCCUGCUGUGGACAUCACGAAGAAUCUCACAAAGAAUUAAACGUUUAAUAAUUUGUUUAAUUCUUUAUAAGACAGCUCUAUAUUCAGCAAGGAACGGGAGCAAAUCAAGGAACAAUUGAAACGAUUCAUUCUGUAUAUUCAUUCUGAAGUAUAUCUGCUGUAGAUAGGACAAUAGUAGCGUAACGGACUGUCCUCAGCGCACAAUAUAUUCAUGUGGUGCGCCUCAGACGCAAAUUCCCCCCAUUAUUGAAAACAAGUUGCUUAAAGUAAACCCGUCCAGUUUUGCACUCCUAGCCCAAAGGGCAUCGCAUUGAAUUAAGACUAAAGAAGGCUUAAAAAGAUGACACCAGUUUUGUUGUAUGCUCCAGUAAGCCCUUUGACUCUCAACCCGAAGUUAUUCAGAACUCAAACUCGGCCCUUAACAAUAUCCGCGAGGCCAGCAUAUCAGCUCAGCUUCUGAGCUUCAGCACCUGCUAAGCAUAGAAGACAAAGGAGUAGUGAAAGGCUCAGCCAAAUCAAAGUCCAGCGAUGUGAGGGUGAGACAGCCUUACCAUGUCCUCGUAUUGCAACAUGAAGGACAUUUUAGCUGAAACUAACAAGGGAGAGGUCUGUAGAUCUGCACCAGCACAGAGCACCAGCAUUGAUAUCAAGUUGACCCAGCAACCGCACAAGUCCCGCCUGCAAGAGACCCAGUCCAGAACCACCUUUCCCCGCCCCUGACUUCUAACUCCUCCCCCUUGACCUCCUAACUCAAAAAGUCAGCAGCGUUGAACAACUCCGUUCUGCAGGAAAUUCUGAGCAUAAUUCUGUUCUGAACAAACGCAAUGCCCACGUGAAGUUGUCCACACAUAAGCCUGGGUAGUUUUGUUAAGCUAGAGUUCCACGUGGGCCUGAAAGGGACGAGUGUUACAGACACGAAAAGUUAAAGAAAAAAAUAGCGGUAGUUAUGGUUACGCUAACAGUCGGUUGUUGCUGUUGGACAUCACAACAAAUAUCAUGAAGAAUAAAAAGUUCAAUAACUUGUUCCAAUCUUUAUGGGACAAACAGAAAUUGAACAGGAGAAAAUCAAGGAACAAUAAAAGCAUAAGCUUUCCUAUGGGAUACUUCGACUGCUGUUGAUAGUUUGGACAACAGUAGGGUUACGGACUGCCCCAGAUUGUCCUCUCAGCGGCCAAAAUAUCAUAAUAGAACAGACUUUUGGCAAUGUUACUAACAAAGAAAGGCAAUAAUGACUUGGUUGUGAAUACCCAGAGCACGAUACAUCCAUGCUGACAAAGAAAGGCGGUAAUGACUUGGUUGUGAAUAUGCAGAGCGCGAUACAUCCAUGCUGACACAUAAAGGCAGUAAUGACUUGGUUGUGAACACCCAGAGCACGAUACAUCCGUGCUGACACAGAAAGGCAGUAAUGACUUGGUUGUGAACACCCAGAGCACAAUACAUCCAUGCUGACACAGAAAGGAAGUAAUGACUUGGUUGUGAACACCCAGAUCAAGAUAUAUCCAUGCUGACACAGAAAGGCAGUAAUAACUAUGCUGUGAAUACCCAGAGCAAGAUAUAUCCAUGCUGACACAGAAAGGCAGUAAUGACUAUGCUGUGAACACCCACAGCACAAUACAUCCAUGCUGACGCAGAAAGGCAGUAAUGACUUGGUUGUGAACACCCAGAGCAAGAUAUAUCUAUGCUGACACAGAAAGGAAGUAAGGACUAUGCUGUGAACACCCAGAGCAAGAUAUAUCCAUGCUGACACAGAAAGUUUGUAAUGACUAUGCUGUGAACACCCGGAGCACAAUACAUCCAUGCUGACACAGAAAGGCAGUAAUGACUUGGUUGUGAACACCCAGAGCACAAUACAUCCAUGCUGACACAGAAAGGCAGUAAUGACUUGGCUGUGAACAUAGAACACAAUACACCCAUGCUGACACAAAAAGGCAGUAAUGACUUGGCUGUGAAAACAGAGCACAAUACAUUCAUGCUGAAACAGAAAGGCAGUCAUGACUAUGCUGUGAACACCCAGAGAACGAUAUAUUGAUGCUGACGCAGAAAAGCAGUAAUGAUUAUGCUGUGAACACCCAGAGCAAGAUAUAUCCAUGCUGACACAGAAAGGCAUUAAUGACUAUGCAGUGAACACCCAGAGCAAGAUAUAUCCAUGCUGACACAGAAAGGCAGUAAUGACUAUGCUGUGAACAACCAGACCACAAAACAUCCAUGCUGACACAGAAAGGCAGUAAUGACUUGGUUGUGAACACCCAGAGCAAGAUAUAUCCAUGCUGACACAGAAAGGCAGUAAUGAUUGGCUGUGAACACAGAACACGAUACACCCAUGCUGAAACAGAAAGGCAGUGAUGACUUGGCUGUGAACACAGAACACGAUACACCCAUGCUGACACAGAAAGGCAGUAAUGACUUGGCUGUGAACACAGAACACAAUACAUCCAUGCUGACACAGAAAGGCAGUAAUGACUUGGCUGUGAACACAGACCACAAUACAUCCAUGCUGACAAAGAAAGGCAGUUAUGACUUGGUUGUGAACACAGAGCACAAUACAUCCUUGUUGACACAGAAAGGUAGUUAUGACUUUGCUGUGAACUCAGAGCACGAUACAUCCAUGCUGACACAGAAAGGCAGUUAUGACUUGGAUGUAAAUACCCAGAGCACAAUACAUCCAUGCUGACACAGAAAGGCAGUAAAGACUUUGUUGUAAACACUAAGAGAUCCAUAUAUCCAUGGGGUGUGCCACAGACGCAAAUUACGCCCACUAUUGUGAACAAGGUGCUUAAAGUGAACAUGUUUGGUUUUGUUAUGAGCACUUAGCACUCCGAGCCCAAAAGGCCUCGCAUUGAAUUGAUGCAAGAAAAGGCUUUGAAAAAUAACAGCAGUUUUGUUGUGUGGUCCAGUACGCCCUUUGACUUGCAACCUGAAUAAAGCAGAACUAGAACUCGGCUCUUAGCAAUAUCAGCAAGAUCAGCAUGUCAUCUUAGCUUCUUGAGCACAGUGAACUUUACUAGCAAACAUGACAAACGUCAUUGAAAUGAAAGUCGAUGACAACCCCCUUCUUGCACAAAUACUACAACUUGCUUAAGAAAAUAAGCAUGAAGACGUCUUGCGUCAGACUACCAAGCCUCCUAUCAAUAUAUC